rnacentral:rRNA from 1 species
CCUACGGGUGGCAGCAGUGGGGAAUAUUGCACAAUGGGGGGAACCCUGAUGCAGCGACGCCGCGUGAGCGAGGAAGUAUUUCGGUAUGUAAAGCUCUAUCAGCAGGGACGAAAAAAGACGGUACCUGACUAAGAAGCGCCGGCUAACUACGUGCCCGCAGCCGCGGUAAUACGUAGGGGGCCAGAGUUAUCCGGAUUUACUGGGGGUAAAGGGAGCGUAGACGGGAAGGCAAGCCAGAGGUGAAAGUGCAGGGCUUAACCCUGGAAUUGCUUUUGGAACUGUGGUGCUAGAGUGCAGGAGAGGUAAGUGGAAUUCCUGGUGUAGCGGUGAAAUGCGUAGAUAUUAGGAGGAACACCAGUGGCGAAGGCGGCUUACUGGACUGUAACUGACGUUGAGGCUCGAAAGCGUGGGGAGCGAACAGGAUUAGAUACCCUUGUAGUC